GUUAUUCGGAAUUAUUGGGCGUAAAGGGCGCGUAGGCGGCUGUACAAGUCAAAGGUGAAAUCCCUCGGCUCAACUGAGGAACUGCCUUUGAAACUGUACGGCUUGAGGCCGGGAGGGGGUAGCGGAAUUCCCAGUGUAGCGGUGAAAUGCGUAGAUACUGGGAGGAACACCAGUGGCGAAGGCGGCUACCUGGACCGGUUCUGACGCUGAGGCGCGAAAGCGUGGGUAGCAAACAGG
rnacentral:rRNA from 1 species